GCCCGUUGGUUUUGGUUCUUUUUUUUUUCCGCGUGUAUACGUCAGCUUAUCGUGCGCAUGUUUUUCCGGCUGUUGGAAUGCGCUAUCGAGGAUAAAUGUUGGCGAUUUGUGAAGCGCUUCGAGUGGCCUUAUCUUUUAACAGCGGCAUUUUAUAACACAUGAACGGCAGUCGUUGGGUACCUGAGUACGGUGGGUGCCUGGUAGCGGCGAGUUGACUGUGCAAAGAUGAGUAUCGCAGCGCGCUUUGUUUUGCAUCGCCGUCGUCUACUGCCAUCAACAUUCGUAAGGCGCCCGAAGUUUGAACCGCGGUUGGAACACGUGAGGUUCGUCAGUCGUCUCCACAAGCACCUUUCUAACAACGACAUUGACGGCUGCUGGGAUGUUGUUGAAGAUCCGCCGAAAGAAUUUAACUUUUCCAGAGACAUUAUCGACUUCUGGGCGGCUGAGAAACAGAAAAAGAGCCGUGGCGACAUGCCUGCAUUCUGGUUUGCUAAGGAAACCAGCAGUGAGCCAGAUAUCAAAUAUACAUUUUCUGAUCUCAGCCACCUUUCCCAGAGGGUGGCUGGCUUCUUCAAGCAUGACCUUGGCCUUAGCAAAAACAGCCGGCUUUUGGUGAUCCUGCCAAAGACGCCAGAGUUCUGGCUUGUUCUCUUAGCAGCCAUCAGAUGCGGCAUAACUCUCACCACCUGCACUACCAUGCUUACGGAGAACGACAUCAAGUUCCGGAUGGCGAAGUUUCAGCCCGACUGCGUCAUAGCUGGAUUGAACGAGAUGGCUGCAGUUGAUGAGGUGGUCAGGAGCUUCGACUGCGUACAGCACAAAGUGCUCGUCUCAAACGAACCAGCGAGGAACGACUGGAAGUUAUUUGACUCUUUGCUUCGAAACUCUUCCUCCAAGCAUGAGGGCGACACAACAUCCACAGACGACCCAGCCAUCGUCUUCUUCACGAGUGGCACAACUGGUCCCCCCAAGAUGGUGGAGCACACACAGGGCUACUUUCUCGCCCACUUGUCCACUGCAUGCCACGUACACAGUCCUGAGCAGCAUGACAUGGUGUGGUGCAUCGCGGACCCUGGCUGGGCGAAGGCAGCAUGGGGCACGUUCCCUACUUGGCUCAUGGGUGCUUGUUUCUUCCAAGCCCAGAUGCCCAAGUUUCUGUCCACCGCAACACUUGCUGUUCUGCGCGACUACCCCAUCACGAAGCUGUGCGCCCCUCCAACUGUGUACCGUGCCUUGCUUCAGCAGGACUCCUCCCAGUUCCAGUUUAAAAGCCUCGUCGACUGCAUAUCUGCUGGAGAGCCCAUGAACCCAGAGGUGAUGCUGAAGUGGCAAGAUCUAACAGGAGUCGAGAUCAGGGAAGUGUAUGGCCAGACAGAAACGGUGGUAUUAUGUGCCUCACCGAGGCAUCAUCCAAUCAAACCUGGCUCUAUGGGCAUUCCACCACGAAACAUAAUGCUACAGAUUCACGACGAGAAAGGGAGAGAGGUGGCUGUGGGCGAGACUGGCCUCAUCGCCGUGGACGUGGGCCAGAAGCGCCCCUUCGGGCUUUUUGCUGGCUACAGGAUAUCGCAUCGGGCCCUUCGAAGUCGAGAGCGUACUCAUAGAACACCCCGCGGUUGUGGAAUGUGCGGUGGUCGCCAGCCCAGACCCUCAUCGAGGAGAAGUUGUAAAAGCCUUUGUCGUACUGCACCCCGACUACAAAUCGUGUGACCCCAACAGUCUGGCCGAAGAGCUACAGCAGCACGUCAAGAAACACACCGCACCGUACAAGUACCCUCGCAAAGUGGAGUUUGUGGAUCAGCUUCCCAAGACAAUCAGUGGCAAGAUUCUGCGCCAUCUGCUCCGCGAGAGAGAAAAGUCUGCUGCUGCCCAGUGCUGAAGAAGACGGCUGUCACCAGACUGGCACUUUAGCUGCCACCUUCUACGAAACUUCACUUCAGCUAAAUUGGUCGUAAAUGAGUAAUAUUAUAGGCUAUUGAAGCAAUCUCGGCAAGGCCACAAGGCUGGUAAAUGAUAUGGUAUGGUACGAAGUGAAUAUGAUAUGCCAAAUUUUUUAUUAUUAGCACCUAAGCAGAGACUCUUGCUGAGACAUCCCUCGUUCAACCUCUGCCAAUCAAUAUUGUUACCGCGGGCGGCAUAGCAGGUAGCAAAGCAAAUCGUGAUUAAGUCACAAUUUGCAGUUGAAACACAAAACAUUUUUCAGAAGAGAUUACAGAUGUGCCUCAGGGAGAAUGACUAUGGAAAUUGUUAUGGAAAAGAGAUCUUAACCAUAUUAUUGACAGAACAUAGAUUUUUUUUCUCAGUGGUCUUUUCUCAACUGGGU
rnacentral:misc_RNA from 1 species